rnacentral:rRNA from 1 species
GCAUCGUUUACAGCCGGGACUACAGGGGUAUCUAAUCCCUUUUGCUGCCCCGGCUUUCGCCUCUCACCGUCGGGCGGGAGAGGCGGGGGGUACUCCCGGAGUAGGGGCGAAAUCCGUAGAUCCCGGGAGGACCACCAGUGGCGAAGGCGCCCCGCUAGAACGCGCCCGACGGUGAGAGGCGAAAGCCGGGGCAGCAAAAGGGAUUAGAUACCCCUGUAGUCCCGGCUGUAAACGAUGCCGGCUAGGUGUCGCGUGGGCUUAGAGCCCACGCGGUGCCGCAGGGAAGCCGUUAAGCCGGCCGCCUGGGGAGUACGGCCGCAAGGCUGAAACUUAAAGGAAUAGGCGGGGGGGCACACAAGGGGUGGGGUGUGCGGUUUAAUGGGACCCAACACCGGAAACCUUACCGGGAGCGACAGCAGGAUGAUGGUCAGGCUGAAGACCUUACCGGACACGCUGAGAGGAGGUGCAUGGCUGCCGUCAGCUCGUGCCGUGAGGUAUCCUGUUAAGUCAGGAAACGAGCGCGACCCGCACCCGUAGUUACGACGGAGAGGGUUUCCUCUCCGGUACACUACGGGGACUGCCGGGGAAACCCGGAGGAAGGCGCGGGCGACGGCAAGUCCGCAUGCCCCUAAUCUCCUGGGCUACACGCGCGCAACAAUGGGCGGGACAAUGGGAACCGACCCCGAAAGGGGAAGGAAAUCCCAAAAACCCGCUCUCAGUCCAGAUUGAGGGCUGUAACUCGCCCUCAUGACGGUGGAAUCCCUAGUAAUCGGGGGUCACUAUUCCCCCGGUGAAUACGUCCCUGCCCCUUGCACUCACCGCCCGUCAAGCCAACCGAGUCGUUUCCUGGUGAGGCCCGUUAAAGCGGGUCGAACCGGGAAACGGCGAGGGGGGCUAAGUCGUCACAAGGUAGCCGUAGGGGAACCUGCGGCUG